rnacentral:pre_miRNA from 1 species
CAAGUACUCCCUCCGUCCGGAAUUACUUGUCAUCAAAAUGGNAUGGAUGUGUCUAGAACUAAAAUACAUCUAGAUACAUCCAUUUCAAUGACAAGUAUUUUCGGACGGAGGGAGUACAAG